CUAGCAAUGAACAUCAGUCGAGUUCAAUAUUUCAUCAUCACAACUUACAUACACACAUACAUACACACAUACAUAUACAUAUAUCAGGGAAACGAUCAAAAAGCUCCAUUUUCUUCAUCAAAAAGCUAGCCCAAGGGAUGAAUGAAGGGAAAAGGUUCUGCUUACCGUGCAUGCUCUUGGGUCGAUCCAUGGAUUCCUCCUCCUCCUCCUCUUCUCUACCUAGCAGUAGUAUGUACAACAGCAGCAGCAGCAGAAGAAGAAGAAGAAGAAAGAAAGAAAGAAAAAGAGAUGGAUGUGGAUAGAGGAAUUACUGAACUAACUAACUGGAUCAUCAUCAUCAUCAUCAAGUGAUAACAAUAAAGGAGAUGGAUGGAUACUACUAGAGAGCUAGCUAGUAGUCGCGCCAGCAGACGAGCAUGGAGACGCAUCGGCGGACGAUGUAGAAGCGCGCCCGGUGCUCCUUGACGGCCUCCGCCACGCACUUCUUCUUCGACCCUUGCUGUGGCUGCCGUUGCUGUUGCUGUUGUUGCUGACAAGACGAGGAGGAGGAGGAGGAGGAGCUGCCUGUUCUGGUGGUGGCGACGCUGGCCGAGUAGCUCCGGCUGAGCACGCUGCUGCUACCGCCGGCAGAGGAGGAGGAGGCGUCCGUCAUGGCGUGCGGCCUGCCGGAUCUGCUCCGGCCCUUGCUGGACAACUUCCACUUGUCGUCCCCUCCCGGCGGAUCCAUGCUUUGCUACCCCUUGGCUUGUGGCUUUGUGAUCUGCUCUCUGCUGCUAUUGGCCGCCGGUUAGGUUAGAUUUAUAAUGGGAUCGAUCGACGACUGGAGAAUGAAUGAGUAGAGACACAACAAGAGGAUGGUUAAUUUGGUGGUGAUAGCAGAACACGAGAACAGAGGCCGAGGCUGCAGCAGAGCAGAGCAGAGCAGAGCAGAUGCAGAUGCAGAUGCAGAGCAGAGUGUGUGGGAGUGCGCAGAGCAGACUCAGCAGAGCAGAGGUGGUAUGGUAUGAUAAUCAGGGUAGCCUGCGUGCACUGUAAUGGGUGGCCCUCUGUAACUCUCUUCUCUUCUGUUGUGCCCGUGUUGCAUCAUGCUAGGCUGCCGUUGGAAUGGACUGCAAUUGGAUGUAGCACGGCAAUCCCUAGCUAGGGAAGGACGCACCAUCAUCAUCAGCAGCAGCCGCCUUUUUGUUGUUUUGUUUUCAAAUCAGAAAUGCUUUCUUUCCUUUCCUUUUGACAGACUCACAGACUUGAGAGUGUAUUCUUGGCUUCUCCACUCUAACGUUGGGGUGACGAAUCAUCACAUGAUUGCAAAUUUGCAGUGCAUUCACAACAGCAACCGCCUCCAUUCUUGUUCUUCUCGCUACCAGUAGGAUAGCCGUUGUUGCCACUGCAGACUGCACGCAUGCCUAUGCUCAC
rnacentral:lncRNA from 1 species